CUACCCGGGUAUCUAAUCCUGUUUGCUCCCCACACUUUCGCACCUCAGCGUCAGUAUCGAGCCAGUGAGCCGCCUUCGCCACUGGUGUUCCUCCGAAUAUCUACGAAUUUCACCUCUACACUCGGAAUUCCACUCACCUCUCUCGAACUCAAGACUGGGAGUUUUGAAGGCAGUUCCGAGGUUGAGCCCCGGGAUUUCACCCCCAACUUUCCAGUCCGCCUACGCGCGCUUUACGCCCAGUAAUUCCGAACAACGCUAACCCCCUCCGUAUUACCGCGGCUGCUGGCAC
rnacentral:rRNA from 1 species